rnacentral:lncRNA from 1 species
UGUGGGUACGGACCAGUGGAAUUUUGGCCAAAGACUAUAAAGAGUUAACAAACCCUUGCAUCAGGUGAGGCAAGAAACUCAAGUCAAGAACCCACUUGUGGGCAGCAGAUGGGGUCUCUGUGCCUAAGUUGCCUCAUCUCUUAGCUGAGGAGUUUGUCCAGAUCGGAAAAGACUGUUUGUAGUUGUCUCUUAGUAACAUCCAUCCCAUGGCUUAAUUCCUGAUAACACAAAGUACAGCAAAUAUACAACAAAGCACAGGGCUGGCCAAGAACACAAGGUAGUGCCAAUAGGAAGAAGGGGUCAGAGUCCAAGGUACUGGGCCACCAGCUUUGUCCACGCUAGGGCACCGCUGUGUCAAGAACAGAAGUGCAUGCAGAGGCAGGGCUGUCUGCACCAGCAGAUGGCCUUUCAAGGGCCUCUCCAUGCACGAGGUGGUAGGUCUCAGCCUCGGCGAGCUCACCCAGGGGACGGACACUAUAAAACUUACCGGCAGAGGUCUGAGAAGCCCUAGCUGCUGCGGCUUUCUCCGGUGAGGGCCUGUGACUGCCCAGGAAGGUGUAUCCGUUGCGCAUGCACGUACCUGCAAAGGCGUGCAUCGUGCGUGCGCUGGCCCGGAAAUACGUGCUCGUCCAUGCAAGUCUGCGCAUGCGUAUGGGCGCAUACGUGCCUACGCGGGUGCGCACAGACAGACACAGUGGCCACGUUAUUUGUGAGCCUCGGAUCAGAUAAGAGGUGAUUCAUGGCGGGGAAAGGCAUGGGACUGGAGACGGGUCCAGUCCGUCUCUGUCGUCAUGCACUGGGUGGCCAUAAGAGUCUUUAAUGUUUCACCUGAUGAAGGACGCAGUCACCUACAUGUUUGUGCGGGGUCGUGAGGAAGGACCACAAGAAAAGCAAAACACUCAAAUUUACACACCAAGCAACUGAAGAAUGAAAGCAAAUAGAUUAAUCACCAUCAGCUCAUACAGAGGAAUUCUCACCCUACACUCAGGUCAAGUGAAUCAUGCUGUUCUGAGGUUGGUGAAGCUCCCAACAAUGCAAUCCUCUGCAUUUAUCUGCAAAGAUUCGAAGGCAAACAGCACUAAAACUCUAGUCCGAGAAAAGAUCUACCUGGAAUCCACACAGAAGUACACUGAGCCUUCGCCGGUAGGACUUCAGGGAGGGAUUACAUGCACAGGCCACAGUGGGCCUGGGGUUCUGAAGGAUACCAGACUCCAAGCAGGCCGGGUUAAAGACAGCGGGCAAGAGAGGACCUGCAGCUGCGUGGCCAGUCAUCAGAACACUCCAGGAUACUUCACGAUGGUGCCUUCACAAAACCUCAAGGAGCCAGCGGGACCCAGGCUGCUCUGUGCCCAUCAGGAAGCGCUGUAG